rnacentral:rRNA from 1 species
UACACUCCUGCGGGAGGCAGCAGUGGGGAAUAUUGCACAAUGGGCGCAAGCCUGAUGCAGCGACGCCGCGUGGGGGAUGAAGGCCUUCGGGUUGUAAACUCCUUUCGCUAGGGACGAAGCUUUUUUGUGACGGUACCUAGAUAAGAAGCACCGGCUAACUACGUGCCAGCAGCCGCGGUAAUACGUAGGGUGCGAGCGUUGUCCGGAAUUACUGGGCGUAAAGGGCUCGUAGGUGGUUUGACGCGUCGUCUGUGAAAUUCUGGGGCUUAACUCCGGGCGUGCAGGCGAUACGGGCAUAACUUGAGUGCUGUAGGGGUAACUGGAAUUCCUGGUGUAGCGGUGAAAUGCGCAGAUAUCAGGAGGAACACCGAUGGCGAAGGCAGGUUACUGGGCAGUUACUGACGCUGAGGAGCGAAAGCAUGGGUAGCGAACAGGAUUAGAAACCCCGGUAGUCCCAUGAU